GAUGAACGCUAGCGGCAGGCCUAAUACAUGCAAGUCGAACGGUGUCUUCGGACAUAGUGGCGCACGGGUGCGUAACACGUAUGCAACCUACCUUACAUUGGGGGAUAGCCUUUCGAAAGGGAGAUUAAUACCGCAUAAGACAGUAGCUGGGCAUCCAGCAGCUGUUAAAGAUUUAUCGAUGUAAGCUGGGCAUGCGUCCAAUUAGCUAGUUGGUGAGGUAACGGCUCACCAAGGCAAUGAUUGGUAGGGGAACUGAGAGGUCAAUCCCCCACACUGACACUGAGUUACGGGCCAGACUCCUACGGGAGGCAGCAGUAGGGAAUAUUGGGCAAUGGACGCAAGUCUGACCCAGCCAUGCCGCGUGCAGGAUGAAGGCGUUAUGCGUUGUAAACUGCUUUUAUACAGGAAGAAACGACUCUUGCGAGAGGCAUUGACGGUACUGUAUGAAUAAGCACCGGCUAACUCCGUGCCAGCAGCCGCCGUAACAC
rnacentral:rRNA from 1 species